rnacentral:lncRNA from 1 species
AAACAACACAACUCCUCCAAGCCCCAACUAGUUACAACCCAGCCACAUCGAUUCACGAUGGCGUCCUUGGCCAGAGCCGCCCGUUUGAUGGUGCUCCUGCAGAUCGCGCUGUUCGUCGUCGUCUCCGCGGUGAUCAUGAGCAGCUCCGUCUGCCACGGAGCCGGGAUCGGUCGUGAGUGCUUCCGAACUGCUCAUUUCAUCCUCUUCGUCGUCGUCUCAUCUACUCCUUCAGUUAUACUCCUCUGCGGCGUCCUGAAAGCGGGUAAUUACUUGUAACUGAUGAAUCUCCAUGGACGCUCGUGUUUUCCUUCCAGCUGGUGCUCUGGACCCUAGCCGCCGCCCCAUAUGCGGAGGCAGACCGUGCGGACAGCCUGGCCUGCCGUACGGCGGCCGUCCUCGGCCCUACCCUUACCGUCCGCAGCCCGGCCCCGGAGCCCCUCCGCCGUACAAUGGAGGGAUUGGACGACCGUGAUCAUAGCAGUACUGUACAAGUUGCUGCAACAACCUUACUGAACCGGGAGUGUAAUAUCCGGUCGUAGGAAUAACUCCCGUUUAUUACUGCGAAUAAAACUGCAAGUCUGGCUCCCAUAUAUUAAUGGGUGUGUGAACGUGAAAGUUCGGUUCCAAAUUACUAUCACUUCCUCUGUUCGCUUUUAUAAGUCGUUUCAGACAACUGAAAAUGAGCUACUUUGCACUCUGUCUAAAAUGUCCUCAAGACCUUAUAAAAAUGAACAGAGGAAGUAAUAAAGAUGAAUAGUCUAAGUGUAAGUGUAAGUGCAAGUGUUAUGUUUUGCAAUCUGGAUUCAGUCUACAAGGCUGCCUCGUGCUAUUUUACUCUAGGCAACAUGGUGGGCACAUGGCUGCAGCUGUACGCUCCCACUCGAUCCAAGUACCCUUCCUUGUGCUUAUACCACGC